CUCCGGCCUUAGCCCUUCCAUUAGCUCGUGUGACUUAGGCAAGUCUCUCUACCUCUAUGGGUCCAGAGUUUCUUCAUCAGUAUGAUGCUCAAAGUUGUAAAGCUUAAAGGCUUCAAGUGAGUGUGCUUCCUCCAGGAGAUAAUGAUGGGUUGUCAUAAAUAGUUGACUUGCCUGAGUCUGUGGAAGCUGAAGACAACCAGAGAGUUUGAUUUGGGAAGAGUGCAGAAUUUGUGAAUGUUUGCAGUGUCUUUCACAUUCAUUUCCAGCACGUGAACUGACUGAUUCCUUGUUUCUCAAUUACAACCAUCUUGGAAUCAAGAUUAAUAACUUGCUUGGUGAGUUU
rnacentral:lncRNA from 1 species